CUCCCCCUUCCUCUCCUCCACAGAUACCGCCGCUGUAAUCUUUUGCCGAGAGAAAGAAAAAGAGAUCUAGAGAGAAAACAAGAGAUCGAGGGAGAAAAAGAUAGAUAAAGUUUGAUUCGAACCACUGAUGGUGGUUGAUUAGGGUUUUGGUUUAAAUCUGGAUCUAUGUUCCAACCAAGAAGAAAAGGGGGAUUUUGCUGUUUUAGAUUGCGGAAUACAACUGAAUAAAAGAUAGGGUGUUUACGAAUUGGAAGAAUAAAUAAUUAAUUGAAGACGGUAAUGAACCUGCUGCUGUUGAAUAGAAGAUGGGUAUUUGUUAAUUGAGGUUGGAUGAUGAAUAGAGGGCCAGGGAAGAAGAGGAUGCAGAAAUUGAUCUCUGUUGAGGUUGAAAUAAUGAGUUGGUCUUCUUGAGGAUAAAAAGGUCUGAUUCGAAAUGGUUUUUUGGGUUGAAUCUGGAAGAGGUAGCAGUGAGAGUUUGAUGAUGGGGAUUUAUGAGAUUUCAUUAAACACCGAUUCAGGGUUUAAUGGGUUUGAGAGAUUCAUGAAGUUUUCGGAGAAGCUGAUUGUUGAAGAUUGCUGGUGGUUAGAACUGGAUGAAUUUGUGUUGCUCUGGAGCAGUAUUGAGAAACCAUUGCAGUUGUAGAUGAAAAUGAUACUGCAGAUUAUGGAUGGAAUUGUAGGUGACUCAAAGACGCUGGUGGUUUGCAGUUGAAUUAUCUUAACUAGAUUGUGUAUUUGCAGUAGAGAAGGGUGUUCCUGAUUUUUGGCUCAAUGCUGUGAAGACAAAUGAAGUUUUAAUGGAGGAGAUCACAGAGCGUGACGAAGGUGCUCUCAAGUAUCUGAAAGAUAUCAAUUGGUGCAGGAUUGAAGAGCUCAAGGGAUUCAAUUCAAGUCUUUUUGUUUAGAUAUUGAUCUUAGAUGCUCCUCCAGCUCUUCAGAAGCUAAGAGAGAACUUUCCUAGAUGAGACGAGAGUGCAAAUUGAAAGGGCACAAUUAUGCCUUUUUCGGUGUUGCAGAAUGGUUAGUAUGGCCUCUAAAAUGCUACUAGACAGUAUAUUGGGUAUUUUUAUAGCGAGUCUGUCUCCCGUGUUUGUUGUUCCUUAUUGGACCUGUAGUCAUUUGACCCUUACAUUUUAAGUUGUUACUCAUUUCAGAUUUAGACAUCUUGCGGUCUUAGGUUGUUUUGUAUGUUGGCUUAAUUGAUAAUGAUCCUUAAACUUUGCAGUUUCAACCUAACAAUGAAAAGUUUCUCAAACCUAUAUGUAAGAACUACCUGUGCAUUUCGCUUUUUGUUAUUCUGGUUCAUUUUUUUUUUCUGCAGUUUGUUAAGUUCAUAGUAUCAAUCUCAUCUCUUUGUGUUUCUCGUGAAAACUAACUUGCUUGAAUAUCUUGGCAUUUCCAUAGGUGUUAAUUACCAAGUAUCCUCUAACUGCAUCUAUGAUCAGAGAGGAACUUAAACACAAAAAUGAUGGCAGUAUGAAUCUCUUAUUAUGAGCUUGGUGCUACAAAGUCGAAGGAGUGUUCAUCUUUUGUUUCAAAAUUAAGGAAAUUGUAAUCAUCAUUUUUUUAAGAAAUGAUUAGUUUGUAUUUUUAAUCUUUUUGUUCCUGUAAAGAUUGUCUUUUUUAAAGAAAUGAUGUAAAUUGAUCUAUGUGAUAUAAUAAAACUUGAUUUA